AUGAACGAAAUCUUCCAACAGAUGGAACGAAGGCGACGAAGCAGAUGAACGAAGGGAGUCGGAUCGAGGACGGCGAGAAGGAAACGGGAAGUCUCGCAGGCGCGAUUUCUUCGGUUGAUUCGCGAAGAGGAAGGAGUCUUCGGGGGUUCAACGAGACCAAAGGGGAAGGUGGGUGAAGCAGCGAGGCUUCCCUCUUCUCGUUCGGUUGCGGGGAGCGAAUUCCAGGCGUCGCAAGCAGUAAUAGCUUCGAAGCAGAUGAGGUUUUCGGAGGUUUUGCUCGACGGAAGGGGAAGAGAAUCGGUCCGAGGAGUGUCGAUAUUUGGUGCUCCGGCUCGGUUGUGAGGUGUGAAGGCAAGAGGGCUCGGUGUGACUAGGGUUUUCGUCGGACCCUGUUGAUGUAGUGAUGAGGUGCGAGGCCAGCUGCCUUAAUGGAGUAAUCACGAUGAUAGCAUCUCCGGUCCAUUGCUUGAUCGAGGAAGGAAAGAUGAAGGCAGCAGGGCAUUUAGGUGGUGAUUCUUCAACAGAAAAUGAACGGGAUUAACAGAAUUCGAAGGAGGAACAAAAUGGAUGUUUGGGUUUGAUUUUUCACAGGAAUCGAUAGGGCUGUUGCUGUUUGACAAGGGAAAGCAAGAAAACAGAUGAGGAAAGAGGUGUUUUUGGUUGGUCGGAUUGCUGUUCACAGGAAAAGGGAUGAAACGGAGGCGGCAGCCUCAUGGUUCGUCGGAAACUGAAGGAAUGGGAUCACCGACUCCUUUCAUCAUCUUAACUAUAUACAAACGAGAAGGAGAGCUGAGUGGUUUUUGAGAAUGGAGUAGCUUCCAGCUGAAACUUUUAUCAAUUAUUGAAAUCAUAUCAAGAUCUGAUUUUUUUUUUUUUUUUGGAUUUUUGUUGACUAAAAAUGAUUUUGCUGUACACAAAUCUGAUUUUGAAGGAUAUUGAUGAAAUUAAACGAAUUGUCCCUAUGGUUUGGGGUAA